ACAGACUCACCCGGCAUGUAGCUGCGGUUCCAGGUGGGUGCUUUUCCUGUCUGCCACAGAAACAUCCCCACAUUCUGUAACCACCUUGACCUGCCAAGGGUGAUGCAGCCAUCUGGGGACAUGGGA